UGCCCAGCAACUCUUAUCCCUACCUCCUCAUGGUACUGGCCAGGGUACGAGUAACUUUGGGGAAGAUCGGGUAACCAACCCCCGGUGGGAGCUUUGGUCGUAUGCUGAAAAGGAAGG
rfam:Aedes aegypti strain Liverpool supercont1.1004 genomic scaffold, whole genome shotgun sequence.